rnacentral:rRNA from 1 species
AGAGUUUGAUCCUGGCUCAGGAUGAACGCUGGCGGCGUGCUUAACACAUGCAAGUCGAACGAUGAAGCCCAGCUUGCUGGGUGGAUUAGUGGCGAACGGGUGAGUAACACGUGAGUAACCUGCCCUUAACUCUGGGAUAAGCCUGGGAAACUGGGUCUAAUACCGGAUAGGAGCGUCCACCGCAUGGUGGGUGUUGGAAAGAUUUAUCGGUUUUGGAUGGACUCGCGGCCUAUCAGCUUGUUGGUGAGGUAAUGGCUCACCAAGGCGACGACGGGUAGCCGGCCUGAGAGGGUGACCGGCCACACUGGGACUGAGACACGGCCCAGACUCCUACGGGAGGCAGCAGUGGGGAAUAUUGCACAAUGGGCGAAAGCCUGAUGCAGCGACGCCGCGUGAGGGAUGACGGCCUUCGGGUUGUAAACCUCUUUCAGUAGGGAAGAAGCGAAAGUGACGGUACCUGCAGAAGAAGCACCGGCUAACUACGUGCCAGCAGCCGCGGUAAU